UUUACCAUUUGUUUCUCUAACUUUACCUAUCUCAUCCGACAUUACAAACCCUAGGUUUCUCUUCAGCCUCCGCAAUCGCCUCCAUCUCUAUUCUCAUUCUAAACUUUGAAGUUGCUCUCUUUUUGUCCUUAUAACUACAAACUACAAAAUCUACAAGAAUCUGUCUGCACAAUGAUUUCAGCCUCCCCAAUCGCCUCCAUCUCUAUUCUCGUUCUCAACUUUGAACUUGCCCUUUCUCUCUCUCCCUCCAACUGCAAGCCACAAAAUCUACAAGAAUCAGAAGUUCAAAACCCAUAUAUUUCAGUUGUUCUACCUGUCUGCAAGAAUCAAAAGUUCAAAACCCAUAUCGACAUAUCAUUUCAAGAUUGUUCAAAAAAUCAAAACACAUAUCUUUCCGUUUCCAUCACCUGCUGUUCCAGAUUGGGUUCGCCGUUCGUAAGCUUUAGCCGCUGGUCCGUUGUCUCUCAACUCUCAAGCUUGCCCCCCUCUCUCUCUGCAACUGCUAACUUGUGACUCAAAGGAGACUUUCUAUAUCAUUCCUUUGGAAAAGAAUACUGUAAUGACCCGGUCAUUUCCUUCCAUUCUUUUUUCCUCAGAAUUUUACGGAUGAAUUUUUUUCAUUGAAAUUUCUUUUCUGAGUUUAGUUUCUCUUCACUUAGUGUCAUCUCGAGUGCUCGGAAAUGGUUUCUGAGACUCUUUCCUUUGGAUUGACAACUUCCUUUAAGGACCGAAUUAUUUCCAUAUUUUUUGUUUUUCGACGCUAUUCACUUUUUGUCUUUUUCUCGUUUGUCACUUUAUUGGCACAACAUCACUUUUCGUGUUCGAAUUUGAUUCUGAUUUUUGCAUGCAUCCACGAUAUUUAAAUUCCACGCCAUAUGUAUUUUUACUUUCUUAGAAAAGUAUGCUAAGUAUUUACUUUUCUUAUAAAGGGUAUGGAUGCAUAACUUUUUUAUAAUAUUCUUAACUUGUGAGGUUUUAGUGUAAUUACAUAAAGUAAUUAUUUUUCAUCUUAGGGACCAUUUUGUAAUUUAAUUUAGAAGAUAUUUUAGAAAAUGACCUUUUUAUAAUUUUUGGAAAGUGUGACAAGUGUCACACUCCUAUUAAACCACUUGUUGACAUUUUGGUAGAACCACUUAGAAGCUUAAUCUCUUGACAUAUGGAGGGAGGAGAUUCACCCAUUUGUUGGCCUAGGAUUGGACCACUUGUUGGCUUGGAUGAGUGACAAGUGUAUGUUCCAAAUUAAGUCUUACAAUUAUUUUUGGGCCACUUUGGGAUUAUGGUUUUAAAGAAGGAUUUUUGUGCAAUUGACUAUAGAUGUGUGCGUUGACUAUGGUGUAGGAUCACAUAGUGAGUAGAGGAUUUCUAUUUCCUCCACUCACACUUCUUCACAUUAUGUCAUUAUAUUCCUCACCACAAACCCUUGCCACCAUUAGAGAAGCUUGAUGCUUAGGCCUUGACUUUGAUUUUUGAGAACCUUCCAUUGAUUUUCAAGCGUAACCUUGGGAAUACUUUUUGUUCCCCUCAUCCUCCUCUACAUAACCCUUGAAGGGUUUGCCAUUUUGUGUUGAUUUGCCUAGGAUUCAAGACGAACAAUCCUCUUGUGAGGUUUGCAACUUCUAAAUGAUGUCAAUUUUGCUCCCUCGGGGCUGCUGGACAAAGCUUAGUCUCUUUACUUGCUCUGGAUUUGAUCUUGGAUGAAGACUUCUUUGAGAAACUGGACGGGGGAUUUCAAUCCACCAUCUGCAUUUCUUCGGUUAAUACACUAUCCAGAAAAACAUAAAAGAUCUUCAAGCGAGUUGUUGAAGUUGAAGAUGAAGCUAGAAAAAAGAAGGUUUGAAGAUAGGGUCGUGGUUGUGCUUUUUGAAUUUCCUUGGCCGAGAUGGGUUCUUUUGAGGAAACUUGUGGUUGUGUUCACUACUUUUGCGAAAAAUUCUUUUCAUUGUGUAUACUUCUUUUGUAAAAACUUGGAGUUUACUAUAGCUUUAUCUAUUAGUAGACAAUUUGGAUGGUAUUUUCAUAUUGGUAAGUUAACUUA